CUUUAGUCUAAAAAUAGAAAAGCAAUUAAAACAGUUAAUAUAUGGUCCUCCUUUAAUAUUUUUGCAUAAAAUGUUUGUACACGUGCAUUUUCUGUAGUAAAAGUGCAUUUAAUAACUCUUGCUAAUAACUAAAAUUGUAAAUUAUUUAUGCAGCUAAUCAUUCUGACUUCAACUGUAUGUAAUUUGAUAAUUAUAUAUCCUUUCCUCUGUUUCUUUUUAAAUAUUUUUUUUCUCAUUUAAUCCUUCU
ensembl:processed_transcript